rnacentral:rRNA from 1 species
CCUACGGGCGGCAGCAGUGAGGAAUAUUGGUCAAUGGGCGCGAGCCUGAACCAGCCAAGUAGCGUGAAGGAUGACUGCCCUACGGGUUGUAAACUUCUUUUAUAAAGGAAUAAAGUGAGGCACGUGUGCCUUUUUGUAUGUACUUUAUGAAUAAGGAUCGGCUAACUCCGUGCCAGCAGCCGCGGUAAUACGGAGGAUCCGAGCGUUAUCCGGAUUUAUUGGGUUUAAAGGGAGCGUAGAUGGGUUGUUAAGUCAGUUGUGAAAGUUUGCGGCUCAACCGUAAAAUUGCAAUUGAUACUGGCAGUCUUGAGUACAGCUGAGGUAGGCGGAAUUCGUGGUGUAGCGGUGAAAUGCUUAGAUAUCACGAAGAACUCCGAUUGCGAAGGCAGCCUACUGGACGGUGACUGACGCUGAGGCUCGAAAGCGCGGGGAGCAAACAGGAUUAGAUACCCCUGUAGUC